rnacentral:rRNA from 1 species
GAUGAACGCUGGCGGCGUGCCUAAUACAUGCAAGUCGAGCGAAUGGAUUAAGAGCUUGCUCUUAUGAAGUUAGCGGCGGACGGGUGAGUAACACGUGGGUAACCUGCCCAUAAGACUGGGAUAACUCCGGGAAACCGGGGCUAAUACCGGAUAACAUUUUGAACCGCAUGGUUCGAAAUUGAAAGGCGGCUUCGGCUGUCACUUAUGGAUGGACCCGCGUCGCAUUAGCUAGUUGGUGAGGUAACGGCUCACCAAGGCAACGAUGCGUAGCCGGCCUGAGAGGGUGAUCGGCCACACUGGGACUGAGACACGGCCCAGACUCCUACGGGAGGCAGCAGUAGGGAAUCUUCCGCAAUGGACGAAAGUCUGACGGAGCAACGCCGCGUGAGUGAUGAAGGCUUUCGGGUCGUAAAACUCUGUUGCUAGGGAAGAACAAGUGCUAGUUGAAUAAGCUGGCACCUUGACGGUACCUAACCAGAAAGCCACGGCUAACUACGUGCCAGCCGCCGCUGUAA